AAGUCGUAACAAGGUUUCCGUAGGUGAACCUGCGGAAGGAUCAUUAACAAAUCAUGAAUGUGUCGCGUAAGCGAUGCAUAUAAACCCGAACCCGUGCAGCAAUGCCGGGCUAGGUGUGCACACACACAUCAGUGUGUGUGUACGGCCUGAGAGUGAGUGAUGCAAAUCAUAAACUCAACGGCCAAAUAGACGCUUGUAUGUUUUGACAGAUUCAGUUGACAACUAAAAUUGACAACUUUUAACAAUGGAUCUCUUGGCUCUU
rnacentral:misc_RNA from 1 species